AUUGAACGCUGGCGGCAGGCCUAACACAUGCAAGUCGAGCGGAUGAAGGGAGCUUGCUCCUGGAUUCAGCGGCGGACGGGUGAGUAAUGCCUAGGAAUCUGCCUGGUAGUGGGGGAUAACGUCCGGAAACGGGCGCUAAUACCGCAUACGUCCUGAGGGAGAAAGUGGGGGAUCUUCGGACCUCACGCUAUCAGAUGAGCCUAGGUCGGAUUAGCUAGUUGGUGGGGUAAAGGCCUACCGAGGCGACGAUCCGUAACUGGUCUGAGAGGAUGAUCAGUCACACUGGAACUGAGACACGGUCCAGACUCCUACGGGAGGCAGCAGUGGGGAAUAUUGGACAAUGGGCGAAAGCCUGAUCCAGCCAUGCCGCGUGUGUGAAGAAGGUCUUCGGAUUGUAAAGCACUUUAAGUUGGGAGGAAGGGCAGUAAGUUUAUACCUUGCUGUUUUGACGUUACCAACAGAAUAAGCACCGGCUAACUUCGUG
rnacentral:rRNA from 1 species